GUCACAUUGCUCCCUAGAGAAGACAGCACUGUCUCCUCCCAAACCCCUCGCACUGCCAUCAGGAAGUUAGUGAUGCUUUGUGUCCCCAACAGAUCUUAGCAGUAACUGAGAAAAUGCUCAUGGAAAUGCUUUGGAAAACUCAGCCUGGCAGCUGCAGAAAACUCGGAAACCACACAGAUUUCUGCUGUUGGAGCCUCCAUCUCUGAGCAAGACCAGCUGGAAUUCUGAGAUCUGUUACCUCUUAUUUCUUCAUGACAUAUUUGGGGAUACAUACAGACCAAAUCUUAAAACGAAAUCAAACAUCGUACUCUGGUUCACUUCUUUAUGUGAACAGCACGACUCAGUGGUGCUCAGCUCACAGUGGUGCUCAGCACACAGUGGUGCUCAGCACACAGUGGUGCUCAGCACACAGUGGUGCUCAUCCCAGCAGAUGGAAGCCUCGGAACACUGGCAAUUCAGCACAAUGACAUCAGCAUGGCUAUUCUCCAGAACCAUCCAAACUGUCUGGCUCCAGAGCCAAAAUGUUAGUGUUCCAUUCUUGGAAGUGGGACUGUUCCCUUCCCUUUAGAUGCUGUGUCUAUGUCCCCUGUGUCUCAGGAGUAAUUGUUCAGUAGAGGGUAGCAUCUAGCCGGUUAUGUACUGCACCAUUUAUUGAACCAUGACCUGCACAUGGGUCUUCACUGGUGAAGACCUCAUGUUCUCAUCAUGGUCUUAAGUGCCUCAAACUCACACCUCUACAUGCUUGUUGAUUAAAUGAUG
rnacentral:lncRNA from 1 species